ACGACUGGAGGCUCUGGGUCACCUCCCACCCGUGUCUAUCGUACCUUGUUGCUUCGGCGGGCCCGCCGUUUCGACGGCCGCCGGGGAGGCCUUGCGCCCCCGGGCCCGCGCCCGCCGAAGACCCCAACAUGAACGCUGUUCUGAAAGUAUGCAGUCUGAGUUGAUUAUCGUAAUCAGUUAAAACUUUCAACAACGGAUCUCUUGGUUCCGGCAUCGAUGAAGAACGCAGCGAAAUGCGAUAAGUAAUGUGAAUUGCAGAAUUCAGUGAAUCAUCGAGUCUUUGAACGCACAUUGCGCCCCCUGGUAUUCCGGGGGGCAUGCCUGUCCGAGCGUCAUUGCUGCCCUCAAGCACGGCUUGUGUGUUGGGCCCCCGUCCCCCUCUCCCGGGGGACGGGCCCGAAAGGCAGCGGCGGCACCGCGUCCGGUCCUCGAGCGUAUGGGGCUUUGUCACCUGCUCUGUAGGCCCGGCCGGCGCCAGCCGACACCCAACUUUAUUUUUCUAAGGUUGACCUCGGAUCAGGUAGGGAUACCCGCUGAA
rnacentral:rRNA from 1 species